rnacentral:lncRNA from 1 species
ACCAAUACCAACAUAUAUGAGGAAAAGUAUCAGUGCACAUAUUGCAUAUAUAAUAUAAAUUUUACAUACACACACAUAACAAAUUCAUGUAACUAUUUAUGGAUUAUUCCAUUUAAAAAUUUCUAUCCAACCACCAGAGUGUAUGUCCCUAUUUUUUACACUGAGACAACUGUUUGUAAGAUGUAGAAUUUGGUUAUGGAAGCUACAAUUCUUAUUCAUGUGUGUUUUCUCUUGGGUUCAGGGCAUCUGUCCUCUUUAUGAUACAGGAUGUUCUUGUGCUGAUUUAUCUGGUGCCUGAGGAGAGGGAUGUCUUUAUGCUUUUCUCUCUGGGCAUUCAUAACAAGUUUUCCCUGAGAGUUUUGACCAUGUUGCUUUGAGCCUUCCUUCAGAACUAGUGACUCCUAGAUAUAAUUUCCAAAUUCUUGUUCCAAAUAUGCUGCUUGUAUCAGUAGCUGCCCAUGGUUACGUUUCUCUACACGUUGUUGUUUGUAGGCUUUUGUUGUUGUUGUUUGCUUUGGGGCAUUCAUCAGAACAGAAGUGUUACAGCUGCUCCUGAGAUGCCACAGAAGCCAUGGCUUGGGGCUAAAUCGUGACAGAUGUGUGUUGACUGCCUGUCACCUAAGCUCUCAUUUAUAGCUGAUGGCAGACUUCAAUGACUGACUUCCCUCCUAGAUUCAUAGGAAUUAAUGAAAUGUCAGCUCCCCCCAAAUGUAAAUACUGAAGUUUUGAAACCCAGAUUUUUACCAGAGAGACUACACUUUUAUUAUCCUCAUAAAAAUUCAUUGGCAAAUGACAGAAUUCCUGUGGCAACAGAAGAAAAAUUCUGUAAACCUGCAGUGCAUCAGCCAUACAAGCUCAUUCACUCCCACCCUUGGACACAUUUGACCUCUCAUACAUCUACCCUACACCCUGC